rnacentral:misc_RNA from 1 species
GCAGGAUCAACCAGGUAGCAUUCCUCUUUGCCGCCGGCACCGCAUGAGCAAACAGGACAAAUACUAUCCUCUAGUCAACACAGGGCACGACAAGCUUCAAUAAAGGACUUUUAAUUCGGGCAAAAGAGGGGACAAGGACCCCGACCGAUCAUGUUUCUGCAUACAANACUUCGAGCGACACAGGGGCCUCCGAUGCCUGCUAUGGCUAAUGGCCAAGCAAGGGAAGACGCCCAGGUGAGCUUUGAUGUCCACAUCGCACAAAACAAUUUGCACGAGAUUAGAUAAGGGACCGUGGGACUAGAGAAUUCCAUCAAAUUAGGUAUUCUACACAGGGGGCCAAGCCAACCAAGGCAAACAAUUUUGCCUCGGGCUGUAUUGAAAAGGUGUGAACCCGUGAUUGUCGCUGCCGGGGCAGGGAACCAACCAAAAGUAACAUACC